UUCCAGACUCCUACGGGAGGCAGCAGUGGGGAAUAUUGCACAAUGGGGGAAACCCUGAUGCAGCAACGCCGCGUGGGUGAAGGAGCGUUUCGGCGCGUAAAGCCCUGUCAGCGGGGAAGAAGAAAGACGGUACCCGACCAAGAAGCCCCGGCUAACUACGUGCCAGCAGCCGCGGUAAUACGUAGGGGGCGAGCGUUAUCCGGAAUUACUGGGUGUAAAGGGAGCGUAGACGGCCAUGCAAGCCAGGGGUGAAAGCCCGGGGCCCAACCCCGGGACUGCCCUUGGAACUGCAUGGCUGGAGUGCGGGAGGGGCAGGCGGAAUUCCUGGUGUAGCGGUGAAAUGCGUAGAUAUCAGGAGGAACACCGGCGGCGAAGGCGGCCUGCUGGACCGCGACUGACGUUGAGGCUCGAAAGCGUGGGGAGCGAACAGGAUUAGAUACCCGUGUA
rnacentral:rRNA from 1 species